rnacentral:rRNA from 1 species
GACGAACGCUGGCGGCAUGCUUAACACAUGCAAGUCGAAUGGAAAUGCCUGCUUUCCCUUGUGGGUUUCGGUUACUCGUGUGGCGAACGGGUGAGAAACACGUGCGUGAUCUGCCCCCAACUUGUGAAUAAGCCUGGGAAACUGGGUCUACUUCCUGAUAGGACUACAGGUAGGUGCCCGUGGUGGGAAAUGUUCUUCUCGUGGUUGGGGAUGAGCUCGUGGCCUAGCAGCUUGUUGGUGGGGUAAUGGACUACGAAGGCGGCGACGGGUAGCCGGCGUGAGAGGGUGGACGGCCAGAUUGGGACUGGGAUACGGCCCAGACUCCUACGGCAGGCAGCAGUGGGGGAGAUAGCACAAUGGGCGGAAGCCUGAUGCAGCGAGACCGCGUGGGGGAUGACGGCCUUGGGGUUGUAAGCUCCUCUCGACCGCGAGGAAGCCACCUGGUUGGGAGGGUGGUGACGGUAGUGGUAGAAGAAGCACCGGCUAACUACGUG